AUUGAACGCUGGCGGCAGGCCUAACACAUGCAAGUCGAGCGGAUGAAGGGAGCUUGCUCCUGGAUUCAGCGGCGGACGGGUGAGUAAUGCCUAGGAAUCUGCCUGGUAGUGGGGGAUAACGUCCGGAAACGGGCGCUAAUACCGCAUACGUCCUGAGGGAGAAAGUGGGGGAUCUUCGGACCUCACGCUAUCAGAUGAGCCUAGGUCGGAUUAGCUAGUUGGUGGGGUAAAGGCCUACCAAGGCGACGAUCCGUAACUGGUCUGAGAGGAUGAUCAGUCACACUGGAACUGAGACACGGUCCAGACUCCUACGGGAGGCAGCAGUGGGGAAUAUUGGACAAUGGGCGAAAGCCUGAUCCAGCCAUGUCGCGUGUGUGAAGAAGGUCUUCGGAUUGUAAAGCACUUUAAGUUGGGAGGAAGGGCAGUAAGUUAAUACCUUGCUGUUUUGACGUUACCAACAGAAUAAGCACCGGCUAACUUCGU
rnacentral:rRNA from 1 species